rfam:Schistosoma mansoni, Puerto Rico, WGS project CABG01000000 data, contig: 0134
AUCCAGCUGAUGAGUCCCAAAUAGGACGAAACGUGCGUCCUGAAU